ensembl:lncRNA
UGUCGAUUUACCACUGAAGCUCAGAUUGAUGUUUAAUACUCCAGACGUGUGAGUCCCGUCCACACGUCCACAUCUAGCUGAAAGCUGAUGAUGAGCUUGUCGAUGCCGUCCACGUCCCACAAAGACAUUUCAUUUACUCAAUUCAGAUCUACUACACCAGGUCAUGGGAGGACAAGAGGAGAUAUCGGGCGAGAAAUCUCCGGACUGAGUGGAGCGACGGGCCUGAAGAAGAGCAGCGCUGGGCUCAUUUAUCCCCGUGCUCAUCCAUCGUCCUCCAAGGCGCGUUUGACAAUGACACGUCAAUAGAAAAGAUUCACAUUGACUUUUAUAACACCAGCUGUGUAUUACUGUCUGGCUCACGUGAAUAAUGCAUUCAAAUAAAUGAUUUUAAUAAAUCCGCCGCAGGUGCAGCAGCAUGGCAGAGGAGCAGGGUGUUUUUCUCCCCACCUCCUGACAUGCAGCCGACGCAGCGAGGC